rnacentral:rRNA from 1 species
GGGUGAGUAACGCGUGGGUGACCUGCCCGGGAGACUGGGAUAACAGUUCGAAAGGGCUGCUAAUACCGGAUGAUCCCCAGCACUCAACCGAAGGAAUCAGCUGUUGUUUUAGAGGAAAGCCUUCUUUUAGGUUUGAUGAGGUUUUUUUCUAGGGUGCGGCUUGGUUUUUUGGGUUGAGUGCUGGGGCAAAGCGUUUAGCGCUCCUGGAUGGGCCCGCGUCCCAUUAGCUAGUUGGUGGGGUAAUGGCCUACCAAGGCGGCGAUGGGUAGCCGGUCUGAGAGGAUGGUCGGCCACACUGGGACUGAGACACGGCCCAGACUCCUACGGGAGGCAGCAGUGGGGAAUUUUGCGCAAUGGGGGGAACCCUGACGCAGCGACGCCGCGUGGGUGAUGAAGGCCUUCGGGUUGUAAAGCCUUGUUGGGGGGGAAGAUAAUGACGGUACCCCCUGAGGAAGCCCCGGCUAACUACGUGCCAGCAGCCGCGGUAAGACGUAGGGGGCGAGCGUUGUCCGGAAUUACUGGGCGUAAAGGGCGUGUAGGCGGCCUUUCAAGUCGGCUGUGAAAUACCCCGGCUCAACCGGGGGGGUGCAGUCGAAACUGGGGGGCUUGAGUGCAGGAGAGGAGGGUGGAAUUCCCGGUGGAGCGGUGAUAUGCGUAGAUAUCGGGAGGAACACCGGUGGCGAAGGCGACCUUCUGGCCUGUUACUGACGCUGAGGCGCGAAAGCCGGGGGAGCAAACAGGAUUAGAUACCCUGGUAGUCCCGGCCGUAAACGCUGGGUACUAGGUGUAGGGGGCUUUGAUGCCUUCUGUGCCGUAGUUAACGCAUUAAGUACCCCGCCUGGGGAGUACGGUCGCAAGACUAAAACUCAAAGAAA